UACGGAGGGUGCAAGCAUUAAUCGGAUUUAUUGGGCGUAAAGGGCGCGUAGGCGGAAAGAUAAGUCAGGUGUGAAAUCCCGGGGCUCAACCCCGGAACAGCAUUUGAAACUGUUUUUCUAGAGGCUGGAUGGAGAAAACGGAAUUCCACAAGUAGCGGUGAAAUGCGUAGAUAUGUGGAAGAACACCGGUGGCGAAGGCGGUUUUCUAAUUUAGACCUGACGCUGAGGCGCGAAAGCAAGGGGAUCAAACAGGG
rnacentral:rRNA from 1 species